AUGAGGAACAAAAAUAUUAAAAUGUUCACACGGGGGGCGGGCACCAGGGCCGGGCACAAGUCGGACAAACACCUCUACAAGGAGUAUGUGGAGAAGCCGCUGAAGCUGGUCCUGAAAGUGGGCGAGAGUGAGGUGACCGAGCUCUCUACGGGGGCACGACUCUAGCCUCUUCGAAGACGAGCGCAAAAAGCACAAGGACAGAAAGUGGAAAAAGAAAAAAAGGGGAGAAGCAAGCCUCCAGGGAGAAAAAGGGCAGGAAGCGGAGGAGAGUCAAGGAGCAUAGAAGGAAUUGAGAUGGAGACCGUGUGUUGAAUGAGGCAGAAAAAGACCUGCAGUGUCACACCCCUGUAGGAUUAAACUUACCACCUGAGAAGCUUUUUACAAGCUCACUAGCCAAACAAGAAGUAGAACAAACACCUCUUCAAGAAGCUUUGAAUCAGCUAAUGAGACAACUGCAGAGAAAAGACCCAAGUGCUUUAUAUUCAUUUCCUGUGACUGAUUUUAUUGCUCCUGGCUACUCCAUGAUUAUUAAACAUCCAAUGGAUUUUAGUACCAUGAAAGAAAAGAUUAAGAACAAUGACUGCCAAUCCAUAGAAGAACUAAAGGAUAACUUCAUACUCAUGUGUACUAAUGCCAUGAUUUACAACAAACUAGAAACCAUUUAUUACAAAGUGGGGAAGAAGCUGCUGCACUCAGGGAUGAAAAUUCUUAACCAGAAAAGAAUUCAGAGUCUAAAACAGAGCAUAGACUUCAUGGCUGACUUUCAGAAAACUGGAAAGCAGAAAGAUAGAACAGACAACUCACAACGUGGAGAGGACAGCAGCUGCUGGCCAGGAGAGAGGGAAGACUCUGGUGAUGUUGAAGCACAGACUUUGAAGAGUCCCACCCAGGACAGUAAACAAAAAGACAAAGAUGUGCUUGAGGAUAACAAACAGCAACUUAGAAAGGGAGCAGGAACAGAUUGACCGUGCUGUGCAGGAGCCUGGGAGGGAGCUGACCCGGUGGCUGGCCAACAGUCAGUGUGAAUUUGAAAGAAGAAAGCCAGAUGGAACAACCAUCCUGGGACUUCUCCAUUCUGUGGAUCCCAUUGUAGGAGAACCAGGCUACUGCCUUGUGAGACUGGGAAUGACAAUUGGAAUACUGCAGUCUGGAGUGAAUACCUUGCAGGGGUUCAAAGAGAAUAAAAGGAACAAAAUAACCCCAGUGUUAUGGACCCUACAGUUCUUACACCCCAUAUUAUGACUCCACAUUUGCAAAGAUUAGCAAGGAUGAGUUUGUUCAACCUAUGGGGAAGACUCUGGCCUUCCAAGUGAUUUUAGCAUCCAGGAGUUUUGGGCCACAUGCUAAGAUUAUCCAUAUGGUAUGGCAGAUAGUUUGCUGGAUGUUUUAACAAAAGGAGGGCAUUCUAGGACCCUACAGGAGUUGGAAAUGUCAUCACCAGAAGAUGAAGGCCAGUUUGAUACAGCGAAAGAAAUGGAGAUUACAGAAGUAGAACCAGCCGUAUGUUUGGACAUUAGCACCCAAGACAGACUCACAGCACUGAAAGCAGUAACAAACUUGGGUGCUCCCAUUGAAAUGUUUGACUCUGAAGAGGCUGAGGUGUUCCAGAGGAAGCUUGAUGAGACCACCAGAUUGCUCAGGGAGCUCCAGGAUGCGCAGAAUGAGCGGCUGAGUACCAGACCCCCUCCCAACAUGAUCUGUCUCUUGGGUCCCUCCUACAGAGAGACGGACCUUGCUGAACAAGUGACUAAUAACCUAAAAGAACUUGCACAGCAGGUGACUCCAGGUGACAUCGUGAGCACGUACAUAGUUCGAAAAGCAAUGGGGAUUUCCAUUCCUUCCCCCCCCCCCGCCCCCCCCUCCCGUAGUGGCACAAAACCUCGUAGAUUUGACAGAAAAGCUUAAAGACCCUUAGAAGGCUGAUGUCGCUGAGUGAGGACCUGGUGGGGGCUCAAGCUUGCUGGCUGUAUGGGAGAAAGCUGGGGAUUGGUUACUCUUCAUACUGAAAAGUAUGAAAAUAACAUCCAAAGAUGAUGGCAUUCAUUCUAAGAGUACCAAGUGUGGUAACCUUGUGCUGGUGCUUUUCAUAAAUCCUACAUUUUCCAAAGCAGGAAAGGAACGAGUGACUAAAAAUGCAAAUCGCAGCGGGGGCGUCCACAAAUCGCAGCGGGGGCGUCCACAGGCGGGACCCUGGAGCCCCGGCGUCGUGCUGGGGGACGCCAGGACCUUAGGCGCCCAAGCUCCUUCAGAGUGGGCGCAACGCAGGACCGGCCGCGGUCCCCGCUUCCGCCUCGCGGGCAGCGGCGGGACAAAGCGCGGCCUCUUUUCCGCUGGGGUCGGUGGGGGGUGA